UUGAGCUUCAUUUCUAUAAAGGGAAGAAAAAGUAUUUGGCGUGAUGUAUGUUUACUUCAUGGAUAUUUUAAGGUGCACUAUUUGCACUGAAGUGGAGUGUUAGGGACAAAGGUCUAAAGCAAUUCAGCCCACAGAUAUAGCUAUCGGGGAAGAAGUAAGAUAUAGUAUUUUGAGAUUUUUGGGGUCCCAAUGUUCUUAUGCAUAAAUUUUGGGGGCUUAAUGUCUAUAGUCAAAACUUUUGGGGUUUUUAUAUAACGAGUUUUAUUAAGAAAAGAAUGGGUGUAUUUAUUUUUUAGUAUCUUAAAUAUCCUGAUAUGUUCUUUUUAUGGUCAAUAACGACAUCAGAUAAUAUGUUUCAAUAGAUAUCACAAUAAUAAAUAAUUUAUCUAUAUAAUAGAAAAAAUAUAUAUAUCCAUAAAUAUCAUUUCUGCAUAUAGACCAUACAG
rnacentral:lncRNA from 1 species